AAUUCAAAUUCGGUCAUUCGCGGAAUUAUAGAUCUUGCAAUCAGUUGAAAGUCUGAAAAUAUGGAAAAUAUAUUAUUUGUGUCAUUUUUUAUAACAUUAUCAGCUGCAAUGCACGAGCAUAUUGAUUCCUUAUCGUUUGCAGUUGAUGAAAGCAACUGUGAUAUUGAUAACAAUAAUGAGUGGGAUUUGGUUGAUUACAAAAGUGUUGGUGUUGAACCAAGAUCAGCAGAUUUAGCUUUGCGAGCUAACACUGAUAGCUGUUUCUCAAUAGUAAAUCAUGCAGUGGUCAAUGGAACUAUUGAAAUAGAUCUGUGCGCGCAUUUAGUGUCUGAAGAAAGUGGUGUUGAUGUUCUAGUGUACGAUAAUUUUGAUGUUCUCGUUUCGAAAAAUAGUUUAACGAUUACGAGUGAAGAAUAUAAGCCUGGAUGGAAUACUUUUAAAGUACCCUUGAAUAGUCAUAAAGGAUAUAUAAAUAUAAUUGGACACAGUAGUGGUAUCGAAAUCAUAUUGAUCGAUGCAGUGCGUUUUGUAUUAGAAACAAAUUUUAAUACUCAAAUUAUAGAUGUUAAAUUAGACGAUGCUAUCAGACAUGAAACUAUACACAAUCCUACAACAGACAAGGACUAUGAUUUGAUCGACGAUAUGCUUAUUAUUUACAACGAACCAUAUGAUGAAACAGAUAAUGAUGAAGGUAGUGGGAGCGGUAGUGAACCUCCUGAUACUGAAAAUCCUGUAACAGAAGAAGAUAAUGGAUUUUGGACUACUUUAACAAUAUCCCUAACAGUUAUAGGUUCAAUUGUGGGUGUUAGUGCAAUAAUAUAUGGUGCUUAUUAUUUUGGCAAAACAAGAGGUCGUCGGCCCGAUCCUUUCUUAGAAGAAUUUGAUGAAAUGGAAUCUACAGUUAAUAUACCUCGUGUGAGGCCUACGUUUAGAUAUGAGUAUUAAAUAAAUGAUCACAGUGUAAAAAUUCUCAGUUGACUAAAAUAAGUACAGUAACCUACCUAGUCCUCAGUUGUGAUACUUAUUAGUAAAUUAUUAAAAAAAAAACUUCUGUACAUGUGAUAAUGUCGACGCAAUAUUUUGUCACUAGAGUUUUUAGUAUUCUUGAUAUAGCUUUAUUAAGAUAAAUUAGAUUUACUUCUAUGUGCUACAAUAAACAGUUACCUAUUGAAGAAAAAAACUGUGUAAUCAUUAAGAUUGACAUCCAAUUGUAGUUAAUUUAACUACUAUUAAAUUAAACGAAAAUAACGAUGAACGGUAAAAUAAACAAAAUAAAAAAUUCAGGAAGCUAAAGAUGUACAAUCCAAAAAACAGUAAUUAAUCUUGAGGGAUUUACAAUAAAUUUGUCCAUGAUCGAGUGACCAAUAGAACAUGCUUCCUUUAUCGGAUGUCAUAAAACAUUAAUACUCUUACCGAUAACAAACUUGACCAACUGAUAAAAUAUGGGUGUCAUAUUGCAAUUAUUGAACUAGUGUAACAGCUCUUUCAUUAUUCUCUAGUUAAUAAAAAUAAGUAAUUAGCAAAGUGAGACUAAUUAAAUACUUUGUAAACAGUUUUUCUUAACUGUUUCAACCAAAAAUAUAUCUCCAGUUUUAGAAUUAUACAUAUGUGGUUUUAGAAGUUUAACCUCUAAUAAUAUAAGUUCAGAUAUGGUCUAAUUUCCAACAACGAUAUUUGAUUAAGCAGAAUCAUGGAAAUCGAAAGAGAUAGGCAUUUAAUUAUACUCUAUUUGUAAUAUACUUACAAGA